GUAGCCAUUAACUACCAACCAAGGGAGCCAAUCUAUCCCAUCCAAUGGCUGUGAUCUCAUCCUAUCCAUCAACUCUCCUCCCCAAGGUGAUGGCAUCCAUAGAGAUUUUCUCAACAUUUAUGGCUUUUUUUGAAGGACCUCGUGACUUACCCAUCUCUUUAGCAGUCCAUUUGCUGAUAAGAUUCUUGCCAUCCUGAUGUCUGUCCAUUGGAUCCAGGAUUUGAGGAUGUGGGCCCAUUCUUGCUCCCCAAGGUUCCUGUGAGUCCCCAAGAUGUAUAGGAUGGUGCCGCAUAAGAGGAUCGAAGCUGCAU
rnacentral:lncRNA from 1 species